AUGACAAUUAUAAGUAUACCUGAACCAUUGAUCUCUGGUUUUCUGUUUGAUUUCAUCAUGCUUGGAGAAUCACCAGAGUUCUCUGGUAGAUUUCUCCAAAAUUGCAAUCGGGCCUUGAGAAGCCACGAUGUCGAAAUCGGAGAUGAAACCGAAUCUGAAGACAAACUGAAGCAUCUGAAGCCUGAAAUCGCGAGCGAAUGGAGAUGCAAUAGUGCUUUGUUGAAGCACGAUUGA